AUGAAGGAAACAUCUCUGCAAUGUCUGCUCAGUAAGUAAAAACCUCUUAAGGUUACCUAAAGUUUAUUUUGACAGAUUUUUUGAUUGUUGAUUGAUGACAGAUGAAAGAAAAUGACAACAACAAAUGAAACAGUAUUUCAAGAAAGUUUAAAACACAAAGAAGACACAUUUCAGCUGUGAAGAGGAAGUUUGAGCAUCUUACACAAAAAAAGGAUGUGAAAAACUGAAUUUAGCAAUUUAGUGAUUUUAAAAACAGAACUGUACUGUGGACAUACAUUUACUAUUACUUGUGAUGUCUUUUGAACAAUGCAUACAGAAAGUCUACAGCACGAAAACAAAGUAGAACGAUAUUAAAAAACUGAAAAAUUGCUUGUUUGCCUGUUUGACAAUAAUACAAAAAUUCCUCCAUCCUCAGAUUAAGAUCAAGACUGCUUGUUUCUGUUGUCUUUGUUAUAAAAAUAAUUGAAGUUAAAGACUUUGUCUGAUCUUGAAAAUAAACAUGUUUUAUGUGGAGUUUUUUUCUAUCAGUGUUUGUGUUUAUGUCUGUGGACGUGAUUCAUGUCUGACUGCAGUCAUCACAUUUGACAAAUCACAAGUUUCAAAUUUUGACAUGAAACAUAAAUCAGACUUUAGAGGAACAUUUUAAUCAACACUGACACCACAGAAUCUCUUUAUUGGACACAGCAGUACAGAAGAAAAUAUGACUGAUCACUUGAUUGACUGAUUGAUGAAGAAUUGAUGUGUUUGUGAAAAGUCAAACCACCCUUUCCUCUUUAGUUCUGAUCUCACUGCUGAGCUGCACAACACACCAAGCUCGUCUGACUGUGAGUCCCAGCAGCUCUCAGUUCUUUGAAGGAGACUUUGUGUCUCUGAGCUGUGAGGAGGACGACAGCUCUGCUGGAUGGACUCUGAGGAGAAACACAAGCAGAGACACCAGAGCUGAAUGUGAGGAGUGGGGAGAAUCAGCUGGUUCUUCCUGUAACAUCAGUGCCAUCUUGCUAUUGGACAGUGGAGUUUACUGGUGUGAGUCCAGAGAGGGUCCCAUCAGUAACAUGGUUAACCUGACAGUCACUGGUGGAUCAGUGAUCCUGCAGA